AAGCCAGUUUUAAGUCUUAUUGUUACUGAACAGUUACACUGCCUGAAUGAUUUUAUAUAUUUACUCUUUUAGAAAAACGGUAUAAAACUGUCACUGGGAUGUAUAUGCUGUCAAAAGGUAAUAAUAUGUGCACUUUAGGGUCCUAAUAUGUCCUUUAAGGUAAUAUGCACUUUUAAAGUACUAAUAUGUACCUUUUAGCUUUUGUACCUUAUGGUACUGCCCCAAUGAUGGCUUGAUAGAUAUAGAUCAGGGGUCUCCAACCCUGCUCCUGGAGAGCUACUGUCCUGCAGAUUUCAGCUCCAACCCCAAUCAAACACACCUGAAGCAGCUAAUCAAGGUGUUCAGGGCUACUUGAUAAUUACAGACAGUUGUGUUGGAGCAGGGUAGGAACUGAAGUCUGCAGGACGGUAGCUCUCCAGGAGCAGGGUUGGAGAUCCCUGAUAUAGAUGGAUAGAUAAAUAGAUGUGAUAUUACAUUGUGAUGCAUUAAUUGUACAGCAAGAGUUUCUGUAUGACAUCACUUUCAUACAGUGGGUCAGAAAAAGGACUUGAGUCACAUGCUCAAAACAAAUGAACAGGAACAGGAAGACUUCAUUUUUGAGAGUGGACGCCAUGUUGUCUCAUUCUGUUUAAGACUUUUACUAAAACAGAUCUUGCAGCCUGUAGGUGCUCAACAGGAAAUCUGGUGUCUGAUUUUUAGUCGAGCUGAAAGCCAUGAAACUCAUUCUGCGGUGGAUUUUUUGCUUCAGUUUAGGUGUGUAUCUACUGAAUGGAUGAUAUCUACUAUGUGAAGGAUUUUCUAUUUUAAAACAGAAUCUAAAGAUCCCCCUCAGGUUCUUGU
ensembl:lncRNA